rnacentral:precursor_RNA from 1 species
UGGAAACUUACUAAGUGAUCACUUUCAAAUUCAGAGAAACCCUGGAAUUAACAAAAAUGGGCAAUCCUGAGCCAAAUCCUGUUUUCCGAAAACAAACAAAGGUUCAGAAAAAAAGGAUAGGUGCAGAGACUCAAUGGAAGCUAUUCUAACAAAUGGAGUUAAAUGCGUUAUCAAAUGAUUAAUGAUGACCCGAAUCCGUAUUUUUUCUAUAAAAAAUGGAAGAAUUGGUGUGAAUCGAUUCUACAUUGAAGAAAGAAUUGAAUAUUCAUUGAUCAAACCAUUCACUCCAUAGUCUGAUAGAUCUUUUGAAGAACUGAUUAAUCGGACGAGAAUAAAGAUAGAGUCCCGUUCUACAUGUCAAUACCGGCAACAAUGAAAUUUAUAGUAAGAGGAAAAUCCGUCGACUUUAAAAAUCGUGAGGGUUCAAGUCCCUCUAUCCCCAAAAAGACUAUUUCACUCCCCAACUAUUUAUCCGACCCCCUUUCCUUAGCGGUUCCAAAUUCCUUAUCUUUCUCAUUCACUCUAUUCUUUUAGAAAUGGAUUUGAGCGUAAAUGGCUUUCUCUUAU